UUCGGGGUUAGUGGCGGACGGGUGAGUAACACGUGGGAACGUGCCUUUUGGUUCGGAAUAGCUCCUGGAAACGGGUGGUAAUGCCGAAUGUGCCCUUCGGGGGAAAGAUUUAUCGCCAUUAGAGCGGCCCGCGUCUGAUUAGCUAGUUGGUGAGGUAAAGGCUUACCAAGGCUACGAUCAGUAGCUGGUCUGAGAGGAUGACCAGCCACAUUGGGACUGAGACACGGCCCAAACUCCUACGGGAGGCAGCAGUGGGGAAUCUUGCGCAAUGGGCGAAAGCCUGACGCAGCCAUGCCGCGUGAAUGAUGAAGGUCUUAGGAUUGUAAAAUUCUUUCACCGGGGACGAUAAUGACGGUACCCGGAGAAGAAGCCCCGGCUAACUUCGUGCCAGCAGCCGCGGUAAUACGAAGGGGGCUAGCGUUGCUCGGAAUUACUGGGCGUAAAGGGAGCGUAGGCGGACAUUUAAGUCAGGGGUGAAAUCCCAGAGCUCAACUCUGGAACUGCCUUUGAUACUGGAUGUCUUGAGUGUGAGAGAGGUAUGUGGAACUCCGAGUGUAGAGGUGAAAUUCGUAGAUAUUCGGAAGAACACCAGUGGCGAAGGCGACAUACUGGCUCAUUACUGACGCUGAGGCUCGAAAGCGUGGGGAGCAAACAGGAUUAGAUACCCUGGUAGUCCACGCCG
rnacentral:rRNA from 1 species